GAGCACUGUCGCAAAAAGAGCUCCGUUGAAAAAAUUGCGUAUGCAAGAUUGACGUCUUUUAAAGGCUGCAUUGCAUAUAAAAAGAGAUAAUUGGUAUAGUGAUCAAACGUUAGAAAAAGAAGAUAUACUAAAAAGUUAUUUCCAUGAAAAAUCGGUUUAUAAAAUAUAAUAUAUGUGGAAAAGUACAUAAAAAAAAAAAAAAAAUGCACGUAGCAAGAUACAAAAUGACGAUGUGAUGUUUGUUUCUACGAGGCAGAGUAACUUGAUUUAGCCUCUCCUAGGCUUUGUCUGUAUAUAAGGAACAGAGACAUAGCCUAGAAUAGGUUAGGUCAGGGCUCGUUCAACAUGAUUAUCUUCGUACUACUUCUUGUGUUAAGGAGACACACCCAAGGUCAAGCUCAAGGUCAAAAAUCGGCCGGAAAUAUCAAAGGAACAUUGCAGCAUAGAUAUCAAAAAAUACCUGAUAAACCAUCAUUGCUUCUACAUCUCUGCCUGCCUCUACCAAAUAUCUUGGACUUUCUGGUAGAAAAAUGAGUCCAACAGUGGAGCAUAAUGCAGGACCACCAUCUCUCCAGUUGUAGGAACCACCACCCACGCUAGAAGAGCUGCAUAUACGCCUCCCAGUGCUCCUGCUGCUACUAACAAACCAAUCCAUCUGCUCCUGCUUAAUCUUGGACAACAUUCUGCGAGAUAUGCAAAUGCUAAUGGUAAAGAUCCUCCUACUCUGUAGUGAAAUAAAAUAAAUAAUUCAUAUCAAAUGAGCUUA